AGGGAAAGAGGAAUAAAAUAAGAAAGGAGAGAGAGUAGUCAUCUUCUUCCUCUUGCAAGUGCCGUAACUUAGGUGAAAGAAGGAGGAAAUUCUAUAGGACGUUCGGCCUUCCUAAGGGUUGAUUAAGCUCAAGAACUUAAAGGUGGGGAAUCAAGCAAGUGCAAAGUGAAGAACAUCGAGUAGCCGAUUGGAACUGUCUUUAUCCAACAAGAGAUUUUCCUUCGAUCCAUUUUGCAUACUUGGAACCAUCGUCGAAGUCAUCACACCUACCUGCAACGUUUUGGUACCCUUUUUAGUUAAUCUUAAGUUAACAUUAUGGCAUGUACAGGCAAAUAUGUAUUUCUUUUUGUUUGAACUUUAAUAUGUAAAACUUCAGCCAUGCGAAUAUGGCUUAACUACUAAGUUUGAAUUUGGUUAUGUGUAGUCAUGGUUUAAUUCGUUUUGGAUAUAAUGCUAUAUG